CGCCGCACCCCGGGCGGGAGGAAGUAGCGCUCGUGCCGCGUCUGGCACAGCAGCCGCCCGGGGUCGGGGUCGUGGCCAUCCAGCACCUCCAGCUCCACGGCCAAGGGCGUUCGCACGUCGCGCUUCACCAGCCGCACCAAAGGUUUCUCGGGCUCCAAGGCCCAGAGCAGCCCCAUGGGCUCAAGCCCCGCGAAGCUGCCGCCCAGCGCGGGCGCGCGCUCCAGGUCCAGCUCGCCAAGAGUGUCGGCGCGGUAGCGCGCGUGGGCCUGGAAAAGCGCGCCCUUCUCGUCGCGCAGGGACGCGCGCAGCGUGACCGGCUGCUCCGGGGCUAGGCCGCGCACGGCGAUUCGCACCGGUUCGUCCCAGCAGCAGCGGCCCGCAGGCUCCAGGAUCAGCGUCGCCGCCAUCCGAGCAGGAACCCUAAUGAUCUGACCAACCUGCCUCAGCUGUGGAGACCCCAGGAACUGCGCCGAACUCUUCAGGCUCCAUUGGUACAGCCGGGACGCUCGAAGGACAGCAGGAGAUGAGGCCAUUUUGAAUUCAGACCUGAGAACAACUGAAUGGGGGUGGGGAGAAAGAAGCUUGUUAGACAUCCUCUCGGGCUGCCGUCGCAGGCUAAGCGCCCACUAGGGCAGAGCUGUCUGCUAACGUGAGCGGGGAAGGCCAGAGUCCAGCCGAUCAGCCAGACCAAAUAUAGACACACUGGAACUUGCUUAAAGUCUCCUGUGUUGAAACCUCCACUUUAUGUUGGAAAGCUACUUCCUAGGUUUGCUUUUCAGAAGCUUGCUGGCCUGCGGAAUGGGCUGGACCAGGGCUGGUUCUUAAAGAACCAGGCAGCUAGCAGUCUCCAGGCUCCAAACUCCUGAUGGCGAAGAGGAAUGCAGAGCUGGAGUUAGUUUUGAUCACUUUGUUGAAUAAUUCACACUCAUUACUAAUCUUAGGGCUUUUCUUUCAAAAUCUGCACCAUGGUGUUUUGCUUUUGUGUUCUCUGUAUAUGCCUAUCCUCCACAUCAAUCCCACAUCGAAGGGUGCUGGCUUCUUACUAGCUGUGUGACCUCUGAGCUUCAUUCCUUACAAGUGUAAAAAUAGCCAAAUGGGGUAAUAGGUAGUAAUUUCUCAAACUCCUGACUUUGUAAUCCGCCCGCCUCAGCCUCCCAAAAUGCUAGGAUUUACAGGCAUGAGCCACCGCGCCCGGCUAAUAGUUAUUAUUUUGUUUUACUGGUUUCUCAAUUAUUGUCCCAGUCAGGCAAGGGUUACUUUUUUUUUUUGAGAGACAGGGUCUCACUACAUUGCCAGACUGGAGUACAGCGGCAGUUUACCAUCACUGCACUUACAAACCUCCAACUCCUGGUGCUCAAGCCAUCUUCCUGACUCAGCCUCUCAAAUACCUCAAAGGACUACCGGAGCUCCCCAUGCAUCGCGCUUUUUUCUACUUUUUCGUAAGCUAUUGGUUUCACCAGAGGUGUGGUGUUUUUUUUUUUCAUCACUUAAGCUUUAGGCCCCUGCCAAGCCCUUGUACCUGAUUUUAUAAUUUCCUACCUGUGUAAUUAGAGAAAGCUAUAAAUGUGUAGGCUUCAAACCCACAAAACCUGUGUU
rnacentral:lncRNA from 1 species